GGGGGGGAGCAAGCGUUGUCCGGAAUUACUGGGCGUAAAGGGCGUGUAGGCGGUAUUGUAAGUCAGAUGUAAAAGGGCUACGGGCUUAACCGUAGAUGGUCAUUUGAAACUGCAGUACUUGAGUGCGAGAGAGGGUAGUGGAAUUCCCAGUGUAGCGGUGAAAUGCGUAGAUAUUGGGAAGAACACCAGUAGCGAAGGCGGCUACCUGGCUCGUAACUGACGCUAAUGCGCGAAAGCGUGGGGAGCGAACAGGAUUAGAUACCCUGGUAGUCCACGCCGUAAACGAUGAACACUAGGUGUUGGUCCCGACGUGUCGGGAUCGGUGCCGCAGCAAACGCAUUAAGUGUUCCGCCUGGGGAGUACGAUCGCAAGGUUG
rnacentral:rRNA from 1 species